AGAACCCGAUGUGGGGCUGGAACUCACGAACUGUGAGAUCAUGACCCAAGCCAAAGUUGGACGCUUAACCAAUGGAGCCACCCAGGCAACCCUAGAGCUUCUUAAAAGGGGAAACUUUAAAGAAUUAUGCUGCUAGUUUUUAAAUAUCAACCAACAGGUAUCCAGGCUAACAUGCUGGAUCAUCUGAUAAAUGGUCCAAGAAAGAGUACCAGUGUCCAUCUUGUAGCAUUAAAUAUCAGCGAUCACUUUAUGGAAACAGAUUAUGAAGAAAGAAAAUGAGUGAAUAAUAAAGUUUGCAAGACAGAUAUGUGCAAAGCAUUUCUGUUGAAAAUUUUCAACAAAACCUAUUAUACAACUGUAUUCUUAUGCAAAGAGACAUUGUGUAGCUGCUGUCACCAGACGAGAGGACAUCAACAAGACAUCCUGAACCCAAGGGAUAGAAACUAAUUACGAGACUGUGCAUCAAGAAUUGGUGUGGCAGCAUCAGAAAAUGCCAACCAGAUAAGCACAAUUUUCAGACCACACACAAAAUAGAAAUGAUCACCUUACACAGGUAUCCCUACAUCUGGUAAAAGGAUCUAUAGAUAUGGUAAUUUCCUGGAAACAUUCUAUCAAAAUCCUAAAGCUAUCUCUAAAAGGUAGACCUCCUGGUAAACUCAUCAAGUGGGGGGAACUCCAUACUGAAUAUAUGUGUUUGUGGGGAUACAAUUAAGGAUGAGAUUUAUAUGUGGGGCGCCUGGGUGGCUCAGUCGGUUAAGCGCCCAACUUCAGCUCAGGUCAUGAUCUCACGGUCCGUGAGUUCGAGCCCCACGUCGGG